AGAUGUGAGGGUGAUCUGGCUGCGACAUCUGUCACCCCAUUGAUCGCCAGGGUUGAUUCAGCUGAUCCAUCUGGCUAGGUGGGUGUCCCCUUCUUCCCUCACCACUCCAUGUGCAUCCCUCCUGAAGCUACACGCUCGGUCAAAGAGGAAAACCUUCCCAGAUAGAGGAGAACCGUUCUUCAGUGAAGGGUACAUGAAUAGCUGUGCUCCCCUGCUAGAACCUCCAAACAAGCUCAUAUUCUUGAGAUCUUAUUCAGCAGCACUCACCUAUCCUUCAUGUCUCACCCAGGGUAGUACUUUCAGAGUAUUCUGCAUGUGCCU
rfam:Felis catus isolate Cinnamon breed Abyssinian chromosome B1, whole genome shotgun sequence.